rnacentral:tRNA from 1 species
GUGGCGCACGGUAGCGCGUCUGACUCCAGAUCAGAAGGUUAUGUGUCCAAAUCACAUC